GAUAACAAGGAGAGCUCCUUCAUCUGCGAGUUGGAAAACCGUGUCAGCAACAGCUCCAGUGAUGGAGUUGAUAACCCCCUUAGCAGUGGGAAUCCUGGAGCAGCGGCUGGACUGGCUGUAGCCAUUGUGUUCUUGAUUGUGGUUCUUGCUGUGGUUGGACGUUUUGUCUCUUAUUGGUGCAAAAAAGGUAAGAAUGCACUAAAACGUCACAGUUUCCUGUGUUAUUAUAACGCCUUUUCAAGUUCCCUGUCUUCCUCCUUUUGAUCAUAAAAACAA